GAACGCAGUAAUAGACCGCAUUUCUUGGAGGUACAGAGCUAUCCCACAAUUCAUUACGGAACAUGUAUUCUAUGGUGCCGAGGAGGACUAUAAAUUUGCAAGUGCCGGAACAGCGGUCUCUUUGCAGACAUGAGUGGAAAAGAGGUGAGUCGUCGUUUAUGGCAAUAGUUGCUUGCGUUUAUGGAAGUUGGAAUGGAGCCGGUAUUGAUAUAUUAUUGGCUGGCUAUCCUUGCUCCGGCCAAACGCUACGGCGGUUAGUUUCUUUCCGCAAUGAAGUAGCUAUUUAACGUUACCUAGUGAACAGAUGAUCGGAAGAAUUUAGUUUUAGUCGUCAGGCAAGACAAAUGGCUAUAACAUUAAGUGGUUGUGCCACUAUUCAGGUCUUCAGACAUGGGAGGGCUUCAAAUGGGAAUAACAUGAUCCCUUUCAAGGAAAGCAUGCUCCAUCAACUCCAUUGAAGGUGAUUCAACUCUAUUCAAUGUGUUUGAAGACUAAGCAUGGAACUGCUGGGACUGGCUUGAUGGUUAAAUGGAAAAGGUAUUGAAGGAAAGAACACAAUUUGGUGGACUGCUUGCAUUUCAGCAAAAAAAUAUCCAGGAAUACAUGCUGAUUGUUUGACAUUCAAUGGAGUUGAAGCAUAGAAGGUUGACCAAACAUGGUGCUGCUUGGACUGGAUUGCUGUUUCAUUGAGUCGAUGCAAGACGAUGCAGAUUGUAUGGAAUGCGACAACUCCAUUGAAGGAUGCCACAGGAUUGUUUCUUUCUGGACUUGGGUGGUGUACAGAAUGUUACAUCCUGCAGAUGAUUCACUAAACUCCAGGCCAGACUGUUUGUCUCAGCCACCAUCAGCUGUGUUCACAUGGCCCUUUGACACAUCCUGGAGUGUCAUUGCAUAAUCCUCUUGUCUUGCAAUGUCUGGUUUCUGAACAAAUGUACCACAUAAUGAAUUGUUGAAUGUUUUGCCUUGACUAUGGUCCCGACUGCAUAAACAUGGGGACCUUCUCAAUCAGUGAACAAUAAAAUUGAACUUUGUAAAUUUAUUUUGUCAUUAAUUAUAAUAGAUUUUAGCUAAUAGCAUUGAAAUAAUGUUAACUGGAAACCACUCUGACUGGUUAGUGUAGAACUGUAGUUUUUACAUUGAUGACAGUUUGUUAUAUAACCAAACCAGG
rnacentral:lncRNA from 1 species